rnacentral:rRNA from 1 species
UUNUGGACGAAAACUGACGCUGAGGCGCGAAAGCCAGGGGAGCGAACGGGAUUAGAUACCCCGGUAGUCCUGNCCGUAAACGAUGGGUACUAGGUGUAGGAGGUAUCGACCCCUUCUGUGCCGGAGUUAACGCAAUAAGUGCCCCGCCUGGGGAGUACGACCGCAAGGUUGAAACUCAAAGGAAUUGACGGGGGCCCGCACAAGCGGUGGAGUAUGUGGUUUAAUUCGACGCGACGCGAAGAACCUUACCAGGUCUUGACAUUGAUGGACAGAACCAGAGAUGGUUCCUCUUCUUCGGAAGCCAGAAAACAGGUGGUGCACGGUUGUCGUCAGCUCGUGUCGUGAGAUGUUGGGUUAAGUCCCGCAACGAGCGCAACCCCUAUCUUAUGUUGCCAGCACUUUGGGUGGGGACUCAUGAGAGACUGCCGCAGACAAUGCGGAGGAAGGCGGGGAUGACGUCAAAUCAUCAUGCCCCUUAUGACCUGGGCUACACACGUACUACGAUGGGAGUUAAUAGACGGAAGCGAGAUCGCGAGAUGGAGCAAACCCGAGAAACACUCUCUCAGUUCGGAUCGUAGGCUGCAACUCGCCUACGUGAAGUCGGAAUCGCUAGUAAUCGCAGGUCAGCAUACUGCGGUGAAUACGUUCCCGGGCCUUGUACACACCGCCCGUCACACCACGAAGGUCGGAAGUGCCCAAA